rnacentral:SRP_RNA from 1 species
GCUGGGUGUAGUGGCGUACACCUGUAGUCCCAGCUACUCAGGAGGCUGAGGUGGGAGGAUCACUUGAGUCCAGGAGUUCUAGACCAGCCUGGGCAACAUAGUGAGACACCAUCUCUA